rnacentral:rRNA from 1 species
AGGACGAACGCUGGCGGCGUGCCUAAUACAUGCAAGUCGAACGGUCUUUCUAUGGAAGCUUGCUUCCACUGAGAAGAUAGUGGCGAACGGGUGAGUAACACGUGGGUAACCUGCCCAUAAGAGGGGGAGUAACAUCCGGAAACGGGUGCUAAUACCGCAUAGUUUUCUUGAUCGCAUGAUCGGGAAAGGAAAGACGGCCUUUGUGCUGUCGCUUAUGGAUGGACCCGCGGCGUAUUAGUUAGUUGGUGAGGUAACGGCUCACCAAGACGAUGAUACGUAGCCGACCUGAGAGGGUGAUCGGCCACAUUGGGACUGAGACACGGCCCAAACUCCUACGGGAGGCAGCAGUAGGGAAUCUUCCGCAAUGGACGAAAGUCUGACGGAGCAACGCCGCGUGAGUGAAGAAAAGGUUUUCGGAUCGUAAAACUCUGUUGUCAGAGAAGAACAAGUUGGAGAGUAACUGCUCCAGCCUUGACGGUAUCUGACCAGAAAGCCACGGCUAACUACGUGCCAGCCGCAGC